UGGGGAAUUUUGGACAAUGGGGGCAACCCUGAUCCAGCAAUGCCGCGUGUGUGAAGAAGGCCUUCGGGUUGUAAAGCACUUUUGUCCGGAAAGAAAACGUCGUGGUUAAUACCCGUGGCGGCUGACGGUACCGGAAGAAUAAGCACCGGCUAACUACGUGCCAGCAGCCGCGGUAAUACGUAGGGUGCAAGCGUUAAUCGGAAUUACUGGGCGUAAAGCGUGCGCAGGCGGUCCGCUAAGACAGAUGUGAAAUCCCCGGGCUUAACCUGGGAACUGCAUUUGUGACUGGCGGGCUAGAGUAUGGCAGAGGGGGGUAGAAUUCCACGUGUAGCAGUGAAAUGCGUAGAGAUGUGGAGGAAUACCGAUGGCGAAGGCAGCCCCCUGGGCCAAUACUGACGCUCAUGCACGAAAGCGUGGGGGAGCAAACAGGAUUCAGAUACCCUGGUAGUCCACGCCCUAAACGAUGUCAACUAGUUGUCGGGUCUUCAUUGACUUGGUAACGUAGCUAACGCGUGAAGUUGACCGCCUGGGAGUACGGUCGCAAGAUUAAAAACU
rnacentral:rRNA from 1 species